GAGCCAUCCUCCCACCUCAGCCUCCCAAAGUGCUGGGAUUACAUGCAUGAGCCACCACAUCCAGCCUACCUAAAAUAUUGAAUGCUGUUAAUAAAUCUCCUGAGGCCAGCAUAAGAAGGUGAUGGGCAAAACUAAUGCAGGUCAUCCUCCGAAUGAAUUUAUAUUACCGAGUGGAGGGUCACAUGAAGAAAAUGGUCAAACAGCACCACCUAGAGCAAGAGCUGA
rnacentral:lncRNA from 1 species